rnacentral:rRNA from 1 species
UACGAAGGGGACUAGCGUUGUUCGGAAUUACUGGGCGUAAAGCGCGCGUAGGCGGAUUUGUAAGUCGGGGGUGAAAUCCCGGGGCUCAACCUCGGAACUGCCUUCGAUACUGCAAAUCUCGAGUCCGGAAGAGGUGAGUGGAAUUCCUAGUGUAGAGGUGAAAUUCGUAGAUAUUAGGAAGAACACCAGUGGCGAAGGCGGCUCACUGGUCCGGUACUGACGCUGAGGCGCGAAAGCGUGGGGAGCAAACAGG